rnacentral:lncRNA from 1 species
CAAGUUCCUCUUAGUACAAAAUUUAAAUCUCUUUCAUUUAACAUGCCUGCACAAAGUACUCAGUAGGUGCCAAGCAAUGACUCACAACAAAGCCAGUUCCCAAUGGCUCUUGUUCUCAUUGGAAGUGAAGGCCAUAUUCUAUAUGUAUGUAUCCUCUCUGCCUUCAGUAGAGAAGGCAGGAACACUGGGAGGAAGGAAGAAGGUAAAAAAAUCUUUAUUAAAAUGCCUCCUGACAUGUCCACUUGGACUCUACUAGGCAAAUCAAAUGUCCUACAUUCCAUCCGAGCUCCUGAUCAUCUAUCCUAAAACCUGAGCACACUGCGCCUCCCCAUCCCCUGCCCAGUUAAGUUUCUCCACUUCAGUGGAUGGCCACUCCAUCCUUCCAGUUGCUCAGACCAAAAUCUUUGCAUCAGCCUGGACUCCUCACUUUCUCUCCCCCUCCAUACCCUGUAGAUCAGCAAAUCCUAUUGGCUCUACCUUCAAAAUACAUCCAGCAUCUGUCCACUCAUCACCACUCCACUUUCCCAUCCUGGUCUGUCCUCCACCUGAAUUGUUGCAAUGGCCUGUAAAGCAGCCUCCCUGCUCCUAGUCUAGUCUCAACCCAGGAGCCAGAGUGGCUGUGGUCCCUUUCAAACCUGAAUCAGGUCAUGGGACUUCUCUGAUGGCAAACUGCCAGUGGCUUCCUAACUCAUGCAAAAAAAGGAAGGCCAAAGUUCUUAAAAUGGCCUGGGAAGCUCCUCAUGUUUGGCACCAUCCAUCCCACACUCCCAUAAGGGUGAUUUGACCUAUUUGGCUUCACGUUGUACGACUCCAGGGAACACUGCUGCUCUCCUGCUUCAGCCAUGCUGGCUUUCGUGUGUGGUCAUGGUCCCUGCUCAGGGCCUUGGAGUUGGCUGUGACCUCUCCCUGGAGCACCUCCCCCAGGCAUCUGCGUGGCUCACUUCCUCUUUCCCUUGAAGUCUUGCCUCUGAUGGCUUACCUGGACCAUCCCUCCUACACACUCCCUGUUCAUUUCCCUUACCCUACUCUCACUUUCCAUGGUCAUCUUCUAGUAUACUAUGCACACUACUUAUUUUUAAAAAUAUGUAUUCUCGAUUCCACACAAAAGUCCCUCUCCCUCUCCCUCUCCC